rnacentral:misc_RNA from 1 species
GGGAGUCCAAUAUUACUGCAUUCUCCGUUAUCUAUGACACUCAUUACAUGUUCGUGGGAGAUGAAUAUGGUUAUCUCUCUGUUCUGAAGUAUGAGGAAGGAAUCAUGGAACUGUUGCCUUAUCACAUGCCUCCGAAUCUUAUAGCUGAAGCUGCUAAUAUUUCAAUGCCCGACCAACUCGCCAUUGUUGGUUUACUUCCCCAACCUAAUUCACAUGGAAAUAGGGUCCUGAUUGCUUAUG